rnacentral:rRNA from 1 species
GACGAACGCUGGCGGCGUGCUUAACACAUGCAAGUCGAACGCUGAAGCACCAGCUUGCUGGUGUGGAUGAGUGGCGAACGGGUGAGUAAUACGUGAGUAACCUGCCCUUGACUCUGGGAUAAGCCCGGGAAACUGGGUCUAAUACUGGAUGCUACAUGUCACCGCAUGGUGGUGUGUGGAAAGGGUUUACUGGUCUUGGAUGGGCUCACGGCCUAUCAGCUUGUUGGUGAGGUAAUGGCUCACCAAGGCGACGACGGGUACCCGGCCUGAGAGGGUGACCGGCCACACUUGGACUUGGAAACGGCCCAGACUCCUACGGGAGGCAACAGGGGGGAAGAUUUGACAAAGGGCGAGAGCCUGAUGGAACGACGCCGGGUGAGGGAUGACGGGCUUCGGGGUGGAAACCUGUUUCAGCAUGUAAGAAGCCACAAGUGACGGUACCGGCAGAAGAAGCGCCGGCUAACUACGUG